UCGAAUUUUGUUUUUUAAAUAAUUAUCCUUUUAAACUAAAAAGACAAAUAAUAUUAUGUCAAUAUAAAAACUAAGUAAAGCUAAGUCAUGUCUGUGAUCAUUCCUACUUUGUAAAUGAUUCACAAAAGAAGACCUUAGUUCUUUUCUAACAGAUUUUUGUAAUAUAAUCCAGCAUGAAGAAGAACAUCAAAGGGUCCAGUCUAUACCGAUAUUGCCGGACUAUCGUUGAAGACUCGCGUUGUUUCCGGCUCCUGACACAUAUGCCCGAAGGGCGCCUGACAUGGAAGAGAGAAAAGAGAGGUCUAAGAUGGUAAGAGAAGGGGGUGACCACUUGUCAGAAGGCAGAAAAACCAAAUCCAAGCUAAAGCUGCAGACCAGGAGAGGCAAGUGUCGGUGUGAAGCACUUCAUGACUUCUUGUGAGGGUUGCCGCAAUUAUUUUUCGCAGCACUGGCGUCAACAAUAGUUUGCGAUUUUUUACGGCCCUCAAAACCGAAUAGUACCGUUAUUUAUGUUCCCGUUAUGUCAUUUGGACAAGUCCUUCUUCCAAAGCUCCAGAUGUGGGGUAAAAAGAAAAACUCGAGGAAUUCAAAUUUCAGCGCUGCUUUUCUUCAACGACUGUCCUUCAACGAUGACAUCUGCUCUCUCCGGAUCCAGUUUACUGCGUGCUUAUAUGUAUGAAAUCGAAGGAGGUAAAGUCACGCUUUAGCCAGAUCAUUAUCUUUCAGAGUUUUCAAGCAAAGAAUAUGUCUUUAUAAUCAGAAAACAUGCCAGAAAAAGAUAAUAACUGAACAUAGAGGACGUGCUUUCCGGAAGACAGCACUAGUGUGACAAGGUCACUCAGGUGUUCCUUAUCUGGCCCUCCAAGGAAAUAGUUCCCAGACAAAAAGACUCUUGCCAAAGAACGUCCAAGAUUUUCCUCUUCCAGGAUUUAUCGUCUGCAAGUUCAAGGAACCGGCUUUCCCCAACUAGAAGACCGUAUGGUCACUGAGAAUACUGGAGGUGUAGCAUCGCUCUGCUUGGAGUAUUUUGUUGUGCUAAGAGAUUUAGCACAGACUAAUCUUUCCGAGUCUGCUGUUGUUUUAGCAUAGAACAUUUGUAACCGCUUACUAUUAGAUGAAUUGUUAUGCGCGUACCAGAUUGAUGUAAGCUUCUUAGAUUUAUGUUUUUAUUAAAAUUCUGGUUAUUGUUUUA